AUUGAACGCUGGCGGCAGGCUUAACACAUGCAAGUCGAGCGGGGAAGGGUAGCUUGCUACCUAACCUAGCGGCGGACGGGUGAGUAAUGCUUAGGAAUCUGCCAUUUAGUGGGGGACAACAUUCCGAAAGGAAUGCUAAUACCGCAUACGUCCUACGGGAGAAAGCAGGGGAUCUUCGGACCUUGCGCUAAAUGAUGAGCCUAAGUCGGAUUAGCUAGUUGGUGGGGUAAAGGCCUACCAAGGCGACGAUCUGUAGCGGGUCUGAGAGGAUGACCCGGCACCCUGGGACGGAGCCACGGCCCAGAACCCUACGGGAGGCAGCAGUGGGGAAUAGUGGAGAAUGGGGGGAACCCUGGUCCGACCAGGCCGGUUGGAGGAAGGAGGCUUUAUGGUUGAAAAACAUUUUAAGCGAGGAGGAGGCAACUAUAGUUAUUACCGAGAGAUAGUGGACGUUACUCAAAGAAAAAGCCCCGGCUAACUCUGUGCCAGCCGCCGCCGUAA
rnacentral:rRNA from 1 species